UACGUAGGGUCCGAGCGUUGUCCGGAAUUAUUGGGCGUAAAGGGCUCGUAGGCGGUUUGUCGCGUCGGGAGUGAAAACACCGGGCUUAACUCGGUGCUUGCUUUCGAUACGGGCAGACUGGAGGUAUGCAGGGGGAGAACGGAAUUCCUGGUGUAGCGGUGAAAUGCGCAGAUAUCAGGAGGAACACCGGUGGCGAAGGCGGUUCUCUGGGCAUUACCUGACGCUGAGGAGCGAAAGUGUGGGGAGCGAACAGG
rnacentral:rRNA from 1 species